rnacentral:pre_miRNA from 1 species
CUACUACUCCCUCCGUUCGAAAAUACUUGUCAUUGAAAUGGAUGUAUCUAGAUAUAUUUUAGUUCUAGACACAUCCAUUUUGAUGACAAGUAAUUCCGGAUGGAGGGAGUAUUAU